rnacentral:rRNA from 1 species
GUGCCAGCCGCCGCGGUAAUACGUAGGGAGCAAGCGUUGUCCGGAAUCAUUGGGCGUAAAGCGCGCGUAGGUGGCUCUAUUAGUCCGUUGUGAAAGUCAAAGGCUCAACCUUUGAAAGCCGAUGGAUACUGUAGAGCUAGAGUCCGGAAGAGGCGAGUGGAAUUCCUGGUGUAGCGGUGGAAUGCGCAGAUAUCAGGAGGAACACCAAUAGCGAAGGCAGCUCGCUGGGACGUGACUGACACUAAGGCGCGAAAGCGUGGGGAGCGAACAGGAUUAGAUACCCUGGUAGUCC